AGUUGGAGAACUGUUUUCGAGACGAGCCGUGGCUGGUUGCACGAUCCUUUAUCAUCGAAAAUCAUCCACCAUCCGAAGUUAAACAUCCAUUUUUACCUUCUAAAUACGUUGUAUAAAGAUUUUGGAGCACAUCCGGAAGGUUAAAUAAUCACUUCUACUGCCCUGCCUGGUGUGUGGUGGAUAAGAGGCUCAACUCAGUUUGAUUAGCAUUGGUCACCUGUACAGCAGAUAUGGGGUUCAACUACAGUGAUUAUAAGGAUUAGCCCAGUUUGAAUAGCAUUGGUCUCAUGUACAGUGAAUAUAUGGAUUAGCCAAGUUUGAAUAGCAUUGGUCUUAUGUACAAUGGAUUAGGCGCUCA